CCUACGGGGAGCAGCAGUGGGGAAUAUUGCACAAUGGGGGAAACCCUGAUGCAGCGACGCCGCGUGAGUGAAGAAGUAUUUCGGUACGUACAGCUCUAUCAGCAGGGAAGAAAAUGACGGUACCUGACUAAGAAGCCCCGGCUAACUACGUGCCAGCAGCCGCGGUAAUACGUAGGGGGCAAGCGUUAUCCGGAUUUACUGGGUGUAAAGGGAGCGUAGACGGCAGCGCAAGUCUGGAGUGAAAUCCCAUGGCUUAACCAUGGAACUGCUUUGGAAACUGUGCAGCUAGAGUGCAGGAGAGGUAAGCGGAAUUCCUAGUGUAGCGGUGAAAUGCGUAGAUAUUAGGAGGAACACCAGUGGCGAAGGCGGCUUACUGGACUGUAACUGACGUUGAGGCUCGAAAGCGUGGGGAGCAAACAGGAUUAGAUACCCCGGUAGUC
rnacentral:rRNA from 1 species